UUCCACAGCUACUGGUCUGCAGCUGUUCUGAUGGUGGCAGCUGUGACAUUCCUCUGUGGGAAGCAAAUUGUUACACAGUUAAACACCUCUUUCUUAGCAAAGCAGAAAGUGGGCAUGUGUGUGACAGACACAG